AUUUUUAUUAAGGAAGGACAACUCCACACAAAAACAUUUUUUAAAAAGGUAUGUGUUAACACGGCUAUUGAUAAAACCAGUUGUCACUACAAGCCUUGGCUUGAGAGUGCCCCCAAAAGCCAAUUCCUAUGUCUUUGUAGGAAUUGUUCAGAAAUAACAGAUUUUAAUGAACAAGCUAAUAUUUAAAAAAUUAAUUUAUGGAAAAAAGAUAUUUAGAGUCAGACCUUAAUAAUACAAUUAAUACAGUCAAAGAAAAAGAACGUAAAGAUCUUCUGGUUUACAAAAAUAAAGAAAAAGAUGAAGCAAUAUCCCUUCCUGUUAUUUUUAAUUUUAACAACAAAAGUAACCAAGUUAAAAAAAUAAUAAAAAAAACACUGGCACAUACUCAAAGACGACGAUAUUCUUAAUCCAAUUUUACCUAAUCAGCCAAAUAUUGUUUUUAGAGGUGCC